rfam:Xenopus tropicalis strain Nigerian Chr01_contig_1905, whole genome shotgun sequence.
CCACUACUUUAACAUUGGUGUACUUUCUAUGUCUUUAAAAAGGGUAAGUGCUCCAAUGUUUUAGUGGUGG